rnacentral:rRNA from 1 species
CGUGUAGGCGGACUCGCAAGUCGGUUGUGAAAUCCCUGGGCUUAACCUAGGAACUGCAUCCGAAACUGCUUGUCUUGAGUAAUGGAGAGGGUGGCGGAAUUACCGGUGUAGAGGUGAAAUUCGUAGAUAUCGGGAGGAACAUCAGUGGCGAAGGCGGCCACCUGGACAUUUACUGACGCUGAGACGCGAAAGCGUGGGGAGCAAACAGGAUUAGAUACCCUGGUAGUCC